GGUCAAAAGCAGGACCAGUUCAGCUCUGUAGAGUGGUCAAAAGCAGGACCAGGGCAGCUCUGUAGAGUGGUCAAUAGCAGGACCAGGGCAGCUCUGUAGAGUGGUCAAUAGCAGGACCAGGGCAGCUCUGUAGAGUGGUCAAUAGCAGGACCAAGGCAGCUCUGUAGAGUGGUCAAUAGCAGGACCAGGGCAGCUCUGUAGAGUGGUCAAUAGCAGGACCAGGGCAGCUCUGUAGGAUGGUCAAUAGCAGAACCAGGGCAGCUCUGUAGGAUGGUCAAUAGCAGAACCAGGGCAGCUCUGUAGAGUGGUCAAUAGCAGAACCAGGGCAGCUCUGUAGGAUGGUCAAUAGCAGAACCAGGGCAGCUCUGUAGGAUGGUCAAUAGCAGAACCAGGCACAAAGUCAUAAAAACACAUUUUUGUUUUAAAUUCUGACUUUGCAGCUGGCCUAUCUAAGGGGAAAAUCAUUCAUUUCUGCCUCCAGGACAAGACUCAGCACAAUAAAUGUCAACCUGCAUAAUGACACAGAUCAGUCCUAAUUCUCUCUCUCUGUUUUGGUAUUAACCAGCAGCGUUAGGGAGAGGCCAAACUGACCCGAUGAUUUCAUCCAUGUGUAGGAUUUCCAAUGCUUUCUCAGUGGGAGUCCUAUGGUGACAGUCAGCGAAGAGGACACGUCCUCAUCCAUACAAUUUACAUCCAUUUUCACGGACGAAAAGUUUAUAUGACUGAAACUUUUGACGGGCCAAUGGAAUGUAUUAUUAUAAUGGAAUGCGUUUAGUCCAAUGGAAUGUGUUUAGCAUAAUGGAAUAUAUCAAAUCAAAUUUUAUUUGUCACAUACACAUGGUUAGCAGAUGUUAAUGCGAGUGUAGCGAAAUGCUUGUGCUUCUAGUUCCGACAAUGCAGUAAUAACCAACAAGUAAUCUAACUAACAAUUUCAAAACUACUGUCUUAUACACAGUGUAAGGGGAUAAAGAAUAUGUACAUAAGGAUAUAUGAAUGAGUGAUGGUACAGAGCAGCAUAGGCAAGAUACAGUAGAUGGUAUCGAGUACAGUAUAUACAUAUGAGAUGAGUAUGUAAACAAAGUGGCAUAGUUAAAGUGGC
ensembl:lncRNA